UCCAUCGCGAGGUGGGGUCUGGAGGAAGCCUAAAGCAAAACUCUGAUCUGAGGGAAACGAACCGCAUAUAAGGCUGCGAUAUCUGGGUAAGCUCACGUGACAGAGCGAAGCCCGUAACCAUCAAAAGGUAGCGUAGUAAAUGCGGCAGAUGUGGAGUGGAGGCCGCUGUU
rnacentral:ncRNA from 1 species